rnacentral:rRNA from 1 species
GAUGAACGCUGGCAGUAUGCCUUACACAUGCAAGUCGUACGAGAGUUUUUAACUCAAGUGGCGGACGGGUGAGUAACACGUAAGAAUUUGCCUUUAGGAGGGGGACAACAACUAGAAAUGGUUGCUAAUACCCCAUAUGCUUUCGAGUGAAAUGGAUUUUUCCGCCUAGAGAGAAGCUUGCGGCUGAUUAGCUUGUUGGUGAGGUAAUGGCUCACCAAGGCGACGAUCAGUAUCUGGUUUGAGAGGACGAUCAGACACACUGGAACUGAGACACGGUCCAGACUCCUACGGGAGGCAGCAGUGGGGAAUUUUCCGCAAUGGGCGAAAGCCUGACGGAGCAAUACUGCGUGAGGGAUGACGGCCUAUGGGUUGUAAACCUCUUUUAUCAGGGAGGAAUCAAUGACGUGUACCUGAUGAAUAAGCAUCGGCUAACUCCGUGCCAGCAGCCGCGGUAAGACGGAGGAUGCAAGUGUUAUCCGGAAUCACUGGGCGUAAAGCGUCUGUAGGUGGUUUAAUAAGUCAACUGUUAAAUCUUGAGGCUUAACCUCAAAAUCGCAGUCGAAACUA